UACGUAGGGCGCAAGCGUUUAUCCGGAAUUAUUGGGCGUAAAGAGCUCGUAGGCGGUUUGUCGCGUCUGCUGUGAAAACCUAAGGCUCAACCUUGGGCUUGCAGUGGGUACGGGCAGACUAGAGUGCGGUAGGGGUGACUGGAAUUCCUGGUGUAGCGGUGGAAUGCGCAGAUAUCAGGAGGAACACCGAUGGCGAAGGCAGGUCACUGGGCCGCAACUGACGCUGGAGGAGCGAAAGCAUGGGGAGCGAACAGG
rnacentral:rRNA from 1 species